rnacentral:rRNA from 1 species
UAAAAAAUAAAGAGUCGAGCCUGCCCAGUGAUAGAUAUUUAACGGCCGCGGUACUCUGACCGUGCAAAGGUAGCAUAAUCAUUUGCCUUAUAAUUGAAGGCUAGUAUGAAUGGUUUGACGAAAACAAUACUGUCUCUUUUUAAUUUUAUAAAAUUUGAUUUUUAGGUGAAGAAGCCUAAAUAAAAUUGAAAGACAAGAAGACCCUAUCGAGCUUAAAAAAAUUUUGUUAAAAUAAAAUGACUAUGAAAGAUCGCCUGUAACAAAAAAUUUUAGUUGGGGCGACUAAGGAACAAAAAAGCUUCCGUUUUAUUAUAAAAGCUUAUAAGCUAUGAUCCAAAAUUCUUGAUUAAAAAAAUUAGCUACCGUAGGGAUAACAGCAUAAUCUUUUUUGAGAGUUCUUAUCGAAAAAUAGGUUUGUGACCUCGAUGUUGGACUAGAAUAUCCUAAAUGAUGCAGAAGUCUUUAAGGGUUGGUCUGUUCGACC